UUGGGACCGGGAGAGUCACGAAGUACUCCGGGGGUAGAGGUGAAAUUCUGUAAUCCUCGGGGGACUACCGGUGGCGAAGGCGUCGUGAUAGAACGGCUCCGACGGUGAGGGACGAAGCCCUGGGGCGCAAACCGGAUUAGAUACCCGGGUAGUCCAGGGUGUAAACGCUG
rnacentral:rRNA from 1 species